rnacentral:tRNA from 1 species
UGCGGGGUGGAGCAGAGGCAGCUCGCCAGGCUCAUAACCUGGAGGUCGUGGGUUCGAGUCCCGCCCCCGCUACCU